UACAGAGGGGGCAAGCGUUAUUCGGAAUUAUUGGGCGUAAAGGGCGCGUAGGCGGCCCAUUCAAGUGACGGGUGAAAGCCCUCGGCUUAAACCGAGGAACUGCCUGUCAGACUGGAUGGCUUGAGACCGGGAGAGGUAAGUGGAAUUCCCAGUGUAGCGGUGAAAAUGCGUAGAUAUUGGGGAGGAACACCCAGUGGCGAAGGCGGCUCACUGGACCGGAACUGACGCUGAGGCGCGAAAGCGUGGGGAGCAACA
rnacentral:rRNA from 1 species